GGCGCCAUCGUCUAAGGGCUUAGGACGGCGGCCCCUCAAGCCGCAAAUACGGGUUCGAAUCCCGUUGGCGCUACCA
rnacentral:tRNA from 2 species